ACUAGACUGACGGGCCUCGAUCCCGUAAAAUAUUAAUUAACAGCUAAAAGUCUAAUCCAGCGGACUUCAGCCUA
rnacentral:tRNA from 1 species